CGGGAAUAUUGCGCAAUGGAGGAAACUCUGACGCAGUGACGCCGCGUGCAGGAAGAAGGUUUUCGGAUUGUAAACUGCUUUAGACAGGGAAGAAAAAGACAGUACCUGUAGAAUAAGCUCCGGCUAACUACGUGCCAGCAGCCGCGGUAAUACGUAGGGAGCAAGCGUUAUCCGGAUUUAUUGGGUGUAAAGGGUGCGUAGGCGGGAAAAUAAGUUAGUUGUGAAAUCCCCAUGCUUAACAUGGGAACUGCAACUAAAACUGUUUUUCUUGAGUGCUGGAGAGGAAAGUGGAAUUCCUAGUGUAGCGGUGAAAUGCGUAGAUAUUAGGAGGAACACCAGUGGCGAAGGCGACUUUCUGGACAGUAACUGACGUUGAGGCACGAAAGUGUGGGGAGCAAAC
rnacentral:rRNA from 1 species